GGCAAAUAUGCACAGAACAAGUAAUGGACAGAGCAAAAGGUAAAUACAUAAGCAAAAAGUAGUGAUUAAAAGAAAGGUUAUCCCAUAAAUCUUUCUGGAGUUUUUUGGAAGCUCUGAAGAAGGGAUCCAGUUACAGCAAUGAUUUUACAACAUGAAGCCAAAGCGGAAAUUAAAACCUACUGCUUUUAAUGAAUAGCUAUACAAAAUUCGUAAGUGUAAAUCAUAGACUUCUCUUUUUACAUAGUUUUCUUUCAGAGCUGCAGAAAAAAAUGUGAAGAUCUGAAUGACAAAGGGUCAAAAUCUAUGAUGCAAAUGAAAAAACAGGAAAAUAUAAGCUCUGUUACUGCCAGGACUGGUUUGCUCCGGCAUCACUUCUAGAUACGAGAACAAAGAGCUGUGACAUUUCAGAAGGAGAUGUGCAAAGGAAUACUCAGCGUCUCCUUCAUCUCUUCUCGGACUGUCAGUCUCACUCCCUGCUUUAUGAUGGAGUAUUUCAGCAGUUGAACACAAACUCCAUGGUGUGUUGAGCAAUACCCAAUCUUAAUAUGGUCCCAAUAGAAUGAUGCAAAAACA
rnacentral:lncRNA from 1 species